GAGGUAGUGGCUUAGAGGUUAAGAGCAAUGGCAGCUCUUCCAGAGGUUCUGAGUUCGAUUCCCAGCAACCACA
rnacentral:tRNA from 1 species